rnacentral:misc_RNA from 1 species
GAAAUGCGAUAAGUAAUGUGAAUUGCAGAAUUCAGUGAAUCAUCGAAUCUUUGAACGCACAUUGCGCCCGGCAGUAUUCUGGCGGGCAUGCCUGUCCGAGCGUCAUUUCAACCAUCAAGCCCCCGGGCUUGUGUUGGGGACCUGCGGCUGCCCGCAGGCCCUGAAAACCAGUGGCGGGCUCGCUGUCACACCGAGCGUAGUAGCAAUCACCUCGCUCAGGGCGUGCUGCGGGUUCCGGCCGUUAAACAGCCUUACAAAACCCAAGGUUGACCUCGGAUCAGGUAGGAAGACCCGCUGAACUUAAGC